GAUGAACGCUGGCGGCGUGCCUAAUACAUGCAAGUCGAGCGAACAGAUAAGGAGCUUGCUCCUUUGACGUUAGCGGCGGACGGGUGAGUAACACGUGGGUAACCUACCUAUAAGACUGGAAUAACUCCGGGAAACCGGGGCUAAUGCCGGAUAACAUUUAGAACCGCAUGGUUCUAAAGUGAAAGAUGGUUUUGCUAUCACUUAUAGAUGGGCCCGCGCCGUAUUAGCUAGCUGGUAAGGUAACGGCUUACCAAGGCAACGAUACGUAGCCGACCUGAGAGGGUGAUCGGCCACACUGGAACUGAGACACGGUCCAGACUCCUACGGGAGGCAGCAGUAGGGAAUCUUCCGCAAUGGGCGAAAGCCUGACGGAGCAACGCCGCGUGAGUGAUGAAGGUCUUCGGAUCGUAAAACUCUGUUAUUAGGGAAGAACAAAUGUGUAAGUAACUGUGCACGUCUUGACGGUACCUAAUCAGAAAGCCACGGCUAACUACGUG
rnacentral:rRNA from 1 species